CCUUGAUGUAUCCAUAAGAGAACCAUGAGAUUCCGUAGGGAUGCCUUGUGGAGCCGUGAGAAGACAAGUCUACACUACAGAUGUGGAAAGCGUACUCCUGAACUAAUCGCGUGUUACUCUUGAGCUAACCACAGGUCCUUGCUGUAUCCUUAAGAAUACCAUGAGAUGACGUAGGGAGGCCUUGGGAAGACUUGAGUAUAAAGUUCCAGGUUUUGAAACGACUACUGAUAUAUUAACCGGAGCAGAUUUAUUACGUGAUAAGAAUACAUGUGGAAAAUUUAGUAUCCUUGCCGAUGUUUUGCACAUACGAACAAGUCAAUUAUGCUUUGACAGUUUAGAUUACAAUUCAACAAUCAGUCCGUUUAAAUCGAAGUAAUGCACCAACACAUUCAAAACAGGAUGGUCGAGGCGGAGAGAAGAUACAAAGCUAGGUUUUUGAGAGGUCGAGCUACGAUUAAAAGAUUCCAGAAGGGAGAUAUUGUAAUAAUAAAAAUAUAA